UACGUAGGGGGCUAGCGUUGUCCGGAUUUAUUGGGCGUAAAGAGCGUGUAGGCGGCCAGGUAGGUCUGCUGUGAAAACUCGAGGCUCAACCUCGAGAUGUCGGCGGAAACCAUCUGGCUAGAGUCCGGAAGAGGAAAGUGGAAUUCCUGGUGUAGCGGUGAAAUGCGCAGAUAUCAGGAAGAACACCCGUGGCGAAGGCGGCUUUCUGGGACGGUACUGACGCUGGAGGAGCGAAAGCGUGGGGAGCGAACAGG
rnacentral:rRNA from 1 species